GGAGAUGGCACUUCAUUUCUGUGAGCGCUACAAGCUUAUGGUUUUGAAAAUUAGUUCAAAAUUUGAAUUAAGACGAUUUUGCCGCACUACUGGUGCUGUUGCUAUGAUGUGACAAGCGAAGUAGAAAAUGAUAUUUAAGACUUCUUGAAAGUAGUAACUUUGUUUAUUUCUUUGUGUUGAAAGCAGUAACUUUUAGACUCCUUGAAUACUUAAAGAACAUUUUGUUGUUAA